rnacentral:rRNA from 1 species
UACGGGGGGGGCAAGCGUUGUUCGGAAUUACUGGGCGUAAAGGGCUCGUAGGCGGCCAACUAAGUCAGACGUGAAAUCCCUCGGCUUAACCGGGGAACUGCGUCUGAUACUGGAUGGCUUGAGUGUGGGAGAGGGAUGCGGAAUUCCAGGUGUAGCGGUGAAAUGCGUAGAUAUCUGGAGGAACACCGGUGGCGAAGGCGGCAUCCUGGACCAUGACUGACGCUGAUGAGCGAAAGCCAGGGGAGCAAACGGG